CUCUGAUCUCUGACCUGCGUUCUUAGCUGGGACGUCGAGUUCUCCCAGGAUAAUUAUCGACCAGCUGCCAUGUAAGACGUGCCUUUCAGCUUCCACCAUGAUUGUGAGGUCUCUCCAGCCACAUGUAACUGAAGGAGUAGCCACUAUUCAUGCCAUUGUCAAAACCUCAUGGCAACAAAACUUCCAGGGCUGGAAUUGCAAAGAUGAUUACAAAGGGGAGCUCCACAAUCAGGUGUUCCAAGAUAAUGAAUACUUCCAUAGCAACAAAAGUCUGACAAUAAACGGUUACCUUGAUUUUCACAUUUUCAAAGAAAAAUCCCUCAAUGGCAACUAGACCAGAAGUCUCAACACUGAAUAUGCAAUAAUGGCUACAAGGUGAACAGUUUUUCUAUUCCAUUUUCUUAGCAACAUCAUUGAUUGAUUUUCUUGGAAAGGAAGUUAGAUUGGAUUAGAUGAUCUUUUUGUUUCAGUCAUGUAGCUUGUUAUUAGCAAUUAAUAUAUGCAGUAGCUUUUGAAACAACAUAAGUAAUAAGUGACUUCAGUAGAAAUUCAUUAUAUUCUAACACAAAUGAUUUAUAAAUGCAAUUUUAUUUUAAAAUUUCUAUCCUUUCUGUCUCCCUGAUUAUAAUUGUCAAAGUAUUCUGAUAGUAGAAAGUGUGUAUGACUGAAAAAAUGGUAUAAAAUAUUUCAGAUAUAGUAUAUAUUCUAUAGGUUGAAUUCAAAAGACUGCUGUCACUGUACAUUUUUUCCCUAACAAAUCAUCUUUUUUCUAUGCAUAACCUAUGGUGAGGCAACAUUCUUUACAUUGUGUUAAACAAGAAAAUACUUUGUAAUGAAUUAAAGUUAAGGAAAGACUACA
rnacentral:lncRNA from 1 species